UAUUAAUAAAUUUACAUUAAGAGUUGGUUUAAUUAUAAAUAUUACAUAAUGACAAUUUGCAGGCAUGUGGUUAGUAGAUUGAAAAUUAGCGCCUUAAAGAUUUCACUAGCAAAUGAUGAAGAGUCAAAAUGAGCAAACGGUUCAAAGUCUUGUUGCAUCAGCUAUAUUGAUUUCGCCUUUGUUUUGCAACAACUUCAAUCAUCUGAGGCCAUUAAACUAAUCAAUUGGUGCGAUGGACCAAAGAACAGGUCAAUCAACUUUAAUAUCUAACCCAUUAGUCCGCCAUCUGAUUAAUUUUAAGCCCUAUCGCCUUGCCUAGAUUUGUCAAAAUAAAAACGGAUAUUUUUUCCAAUGAGAAAGACGAGGACAAAAUCUGAAAGGAAAAAUGAGGUCGAGGGCCAUUCGAGCAAAAUUCAAAAAAGCAAAAGACAAUAUCGUAAUGGUUUAAAUCAACUAAGUAGAGUAAAUUAAAAUAAUAGGAGAUACAAUUAUAUUUGGUGUCCAUUGAGUACAAUAUUCAGUUCGGGUAAAAACGUUUACAUGGUUGCUACUGAACAGGACUCACGUCAAGUUAUCAGACUCUUUAUGUUAAAGGCUUCAUAACUUAAAGUAUUAGCAAUGGUGAUGUAUGUUGAGAUAUUUUAAUCCAACAUCGAGCAUUUCAAGACGUGAAACAGUGGAACCCUUCUGGUCAUCUCAAUUCACUUGAUUGGCUUUAUUUGGUUUAUUUACAUUUGCUGUUUUGGUCUUGACUUGGUGGUCUUUUGCUUUGCUGGUUUUGGCUCAAAUGAUCCUAGCCCAAAAGGAUGAGCAAGGUGUGGCGGAGGAUAGACGAGAAUCGAUGAUUAGAUGGACCAGAUCUUUCACUUGACCUUAAAUUAUAUCAAAUUGGUUACCAUGAUUGACUCAAGUUGCACUUGUUGAGCAAACAUUAAUUUGAAUCCAUUGUCUGAUUUCAUUUUAUCGUGUAAAACAAGCAAAGGAAAUGAUGAGGUAAACCAAAGAAGAAGAAACUGAUGAAAAUUGGACGACGAUGACGAUCAUGAUGAACAAGAUUUCUUCUGCAAACCAAGUAAACAGAACCUAAGCCGUAGGAAUGGAUGAAUUUUCAAUGGUGAAAAAGCACACUGAUCAUGUAAUCAUUUAAAUUACUUGUUACAAGGUUGAAUGUGGCCUGGAGAGAGGAAAGCAAUGCAAACAGCAACCGAGUCUCUCCUUGUGGUUAUUGAGUCCUUGGAUGAAUUAAAUUAUGUUUCAACUUAAUCACAAACCCAAAUCUGGUUCUUUCUAUGCUGAUUUUCAUAAUGGUGAUUAGCAUUACGUAAAUUAAAUAAUCAAUGGCAAAUCUUAAUCGCCUAGUGGCAAGAGAGAGAAUGAUGGUUAAUUUGCUGAAAACUUUAACUCAUUACAAAAAUUUGACAAUAAUUUGCUUCUUCAAGUACACAACAAUUCACAAUCAUUUGUCAUCAAACGAAGGAUUUAUCGUUGAUUGCGGCUGGCAUGGAAAUCAAAAUUGUCCAUUUACAUUGCUCCUAGAAAUUAUCAUGGAAAAUUAAGAAACUGAAUAUCGUGUUAUUACCAAUUGAUAUCACCAUGAAAGCGAGACUACACAUUUUAUUGAUUAGUAAAAGGCAAAAGGCAAGAAAAGGAUUUACAUUUGAGUGAAACUCGCAAGUUAAUUGUUAUCGAAAUGCGUGGUUAAACAAGCCAAAGGAGGGAAAAAGAUAGUUGAAGGAAAAACUCGGAGGAAAAGAAAUAAUCUUCAAGUUGAAUGAUGAUUAUUUACAAUGAAUUAACUCAUUAAUUGUUGUUCACCUUAAGGCAACUCAACUGAAAAUAAUACAAUGCACAACGAUUGCGAUAUUGCUGGUAGAAACGAUAUUUUUAUCAUCAGUACAUAAAGACUCAAGCACUUGGAAUGCAAUCAGCAGUUCACUGGAAACAAAAGCUUUUCUCGUUUCGUUUUUUCCUCACUUUGGGAUCAUCUAAUUUAUGCUUGAAAUUGUGACUAUCAAGCAUCCAGUGAUAUCGAAAGGGAAAUAGUUAAACUGUUCGUGUAAUUAACAAUGUACAAUGGUUAAUACAAUGUACAUAGCUUUCGUUGCCACUGCUAAUGAUUUUGAUAAUUAUCAUAUGCUUUUGACGUAAAACCCUCUUUAAUCCAAGGUUAAUAUCAUUUUUUUCACAGUUUGUGUACUUUGGUGGAUCGUAAAAGCUAUUUACUUUCAUUUGAACCAAGGCCAGUUAAGGUCAAUUGACUUUGAAACUAGAUUUUUGUUCAUGUUUCAGUGAUUUAAUUUAUUCAGCUCAAAAUUAUAAAUUUUCAUCAAACAAAAUUGUUGCUCUCUUUCUCGCAUAAUUUGAUUCUAAACAAUGGAUUUAAACAUUGAUUAACACGGCUGAACCAAUUGCGACAGCAAACAAUGGAUUCUUACCUCAUCAUUACAGUCUUUUUAAAUUCCAUAAAAUUGAUUGAAACUG